GUUAGUUUGAGGAGCAGGGGGCUCAGUGAAGCUCUGUGAGCCAUUUGGUAGCUGCCCUUUGAUUUGGGGCUUAAAGAAGUUUAUCAGGAGCUGAGAUGACAUUGGAAGGUCACUGGCUUUGUGUAAAAGAUCAUCUCAUCAAAAUCAAGGAUAACCAAAUUACGAUUUAUCAAGCCAAAGCAAGUUGUUGAAAACUGAACAGUAAAUUAGUGGUAACAAUAGGGAUACCUAAAGAGUCUUUGGAAAAUAAUGCACUAACAAACAAGAGGGUAGUAAAACAGUAACAAUGUACAGGUAUGAAAUGUUUCCUCAAGAUCCUUCUAGAAUAGGGAUAUCAUUGAAUAUUGUGAAGGGGACUCUUCCUUGAAUACUGCUAACAGGAGUCAGGCUCCUCGAAGGAAAAUGCUUUGAUGGAAGGAAAAAUUAAUAUUAAUGGGAGUAUUUAGAGAAAGUAUGGACCUGUUUGCUUUUGCAGAAUUAGCCUAUUAGCAAAUGGAAUUCUUUCUGUGGGAAAUGGUUCUAUUUACCUCUGGAUCGGAUAUAAAUUUUACACUGGUUAAUG